ensembl:snRNA U6 U6 spliceosomal RNA
GUACUCAUUUCAGUAGUGCACAUACUAAAAUCAGAAAGAUAUAGAGAACAUUAGCAUAAUCCCUGCACAAGGGUGACAGGUAAAUCAUGAAGUGUUCCAUAUUUUU